rnacentral:rRNA from 1 species
AGUCGAGCGGACAGAUGGGAGCUUGCUCCCUGAUGUUAGCGGCGGACGGGUGAGUAACACGUGGGUAACCUGCCUGUAAGACUGGGAUAACUCCGGGAAACCGGGGCUAAUACCGGAUGGUUGUUUGAACCGCAUGGUUCAAACAUAAAAGGUGGCUUCGGCUACCACUUACAGAUGGACCCGCGGCGCAUUAGCUAGUUGGUGAGGUAACGGCUCACCAAGGCAACGAUGCGUAGCCGACCUGAGAGGGUGAUCGGCCACACUGGGACUGAGACACGGCCCAGACUCCUACGGGAGGCAGCAGUAGGGAAUCUUCCGCAAUGGACGAAAGUCUGACGGAGCAACGCCGCGUGAGUGAUGAAGGUUUUCGGAUCGUAAAGCUCUGUUGUUAGGGAAGAACAAGUACCGUUCGAAUAGGGCGGUACCUUGACGGUACCUAACCAGAAAGCCACGGCUAACUACGUGCCAGCAGCCGCGGUAAUACGUAGGUGGCAAGCGUUGUCCGGAAUUAUUGGGCGUAAAGGGCUCGCAGGCGGUUUCUUAAGUCUGAUGUGAAAGCCCCCGGCUCAACCGGGGAGGGUCAUUGGAAACUGGGGAACUUGAGUGCAGAAGAGGAGAGUGGAAUUCCACGUGUAGCGGUGAAAUGCGUAGAGAUGUGGAGGAACACCAGUGGCGAAGGCGACUCUCUGGUCUGUAACUGACGCUGAGGAGCGAAAGCGUGGGGAGCGAACAGGAUUAGAUACCCUGGUAGUCCACGCCGUAAACGAUGAGUGCUAAGUGUUAGGGGGUUUCCGCCCC